CUCGAGUUUACCAGCACGUUAUGGUGGGCACUCUAAGGAGACUGCCGGUGACAACCGGAGGAAGGUGGGGAUGACGUCAAGUCAUCAUGGCCCUUACGGCCUGGGCUACACACGUGCUACAAUGGUCGGUACAAAGGGUUGCCAAGCCGCGAGGUGGAGCUAAUCCCAUAAAACCGAUCGUAGUCCGGAUCGCAGUCUGCAACUCGACUGCGUGAAGUCGGAAUCGCUAGUAAUCGUGAAUCAGAAUGUCACGGUGAAUACGUUCCCGGGCCUU
rnacentral:rRNA from 1 species